rnacentral:misc_RNA from 1 species
GGGGAUAGAGCUUUUGUACAGCGCUGGAGUGGAACAAGCGAACAAAGCUCUAUUGGCAGAUAGAUAGGUUGUUUAGUAUUGCCAACAUCAAGGCAAGGCAGACAUGCAGAGUCGGUGAGUUCUAUGCCGCGGUGUUUAGUAAAAUACUCAUACACUGUUAUCUUCACAACCUGCGGCUUCACAUUUGCACAAUCAUGGCUUCUCACUUUCAUUGAAAAACUAGGAAAUAAGAGCAAAGUUAGAGGUUCACAAUGGAUACAAAACGAAGAGGGACAAUUCAAAGAGGGAAAAGGCACAGACGGCAAAGAACCG